GACAACCCAAUACACUCCAGGUCAAGUGACUUUUCCGACAACCCAAUACACUCCAGGUCAAGCCUCAUUUUAAUAAGUUUGCACCAUUCCUAUUGCUUUGAAUUCAAGAGGCAUUAAAAUAGAGAAAGUGUAUUUUAGAGCCUGCAUGUUUACAAUCCUGUUGGCAGCCCUUCUCCAGCUGGGUUUAAUGUGUGUGAUAUCUACACUCCAAGGAAGCCCGACAGCAGUCCGGUUUCCCGGCAGCUUGAAAGGGAGACGAGAGGUGGGAACACGGUCUCCACAGCGCAGCACAGGUGCGCUGAGUGAGAAACGCACCUGUUACAUUGACUCCUCCUGAGUGACAAUUUCAGCUCAAAUACCGUCACAUUAAAUUAAUGCUACUUAAUUUGCAUUUUAUUUGUUUUACAGUUUUGUUUGUAUUAAUUGGCAUAUUUAUUUUGAUACAUGAGCACCAGGAGUUUAUACCCAGUUUUAUGUUUGCACAUUUAAAGAACACUAGCUGAUUUAAGUCAAUCCUAAAGAUCCAUGAACUUUUUUUAUUUAAGAAGAAUCUGUUAAGUUUGAGAAACACUAUACUAAAUGAUACCUCUAAAUUAAAACAGUCACACAUACGAAGCUGAGCCCAUAGGAGGGGAAAGCAUGGCUUACAUGGUAGCAUCUAUAGGGGUUAAGGAAACAGGAUUAAGAGAAUGAGCUUUUGAUCAGACAGGUAAGACCUGAACGUUUCAUUUUACAGGUUUAUGGCCUAGGCCAAUUAUUUGAUUUUUCUGACCCCCCAUUUUAACAUAAGGAAUAAUGUACCUAUGUUUUAAGGGUGUUGAGUGUUAAAUGAGAUAGUUGAGUAUUAAACGAAAUAUGAUUGAAUCUGGAAAAGGUCAAUUCCUCAGAAACAUUCGUUGUUAUUAUUUGAAAGCUUUUUAUGCUCUGGUCUCUGAUUCUAUUUCUAGCUUCCUCUCUUGCUACAACGCUCCCCUUAAACACUAUGCUUCAGCCUCUGUGAAUUUUUAAUUUUUUAAGUUCCCUGCAUGUGUUUGGCUCUUUCUCUAGCUUUUAUGCCUUUGCUCAUGCUGUUCUCACUAGCAAAUUAACUGAAUCUGAGGAGGGGGCUGUGGGAACCUCCAGUUUAUAGCCCACUGGACAGAAGCACAGGUGACGACAACCUAGCCUUGCGGUUGGCAUCUGAAGUGGGGGCAGUCUUGUGGGGCUGAGCUCUUAACUUGUGGGAUCGGACACAAUCUCCAGGGAGACAGUGUAGGAAUUGAGGUAAACUGUGGGACACCCAGCUGGGGUUGCAGCAUCGUGUGCAUCAGGAGUGUUGUAGUCCUCAGAGUGCUGUGUGUGAUGUAAAUGAAAACGGUCUUUCUUUACAGUGCUGUGCCCCCCACUGUUCUCCCAACGGUGGAUGUGAUCACUGGUCUGCUGCCUUACGUGGGGGUGGGCUGGACUUGUUGACUUUCUUCUGAGACCAGGUUAUUAUGACUAUGGCAUCCAUCCCAAGGCUGUCCCUAUGAUCACUCUGCUGGUGGAAGCAAGCUGCCAAGUGCUGAGCAGCCCACGUGGCAUGGUGAGGAACUGCGGCCCGAAGACCAAUGACCUGUGAGGAAAUGAAGCCUGUCAAAAACCGCAGUGAACUUAGAAGGGGAUUCUUCAACCUCAAUUGAAUCCUGAAAUAAUUACAGCCCCAGCUGACACCUUAACUGCAGCUUUAUGAGAGAUACUUCGAGCCAGAGGCAUCCUGAACCCAGCCUUCAUCCUAUGAGAAGCGCAAGUCAUAUAAAGAACCAAGGUGUUCAUGUUGACAAUCUCAGCUGAGCACCCUCUACCAGCUGGAACUACAACUCCAGACCAGCCACCCCAGCCAGCUGCCAGCCAUUUAAGUCACUCCAGCUGUGGCCCUAGCCAUCAUGGAACCGAGAAGUGUACAACUAUCAUUUCCAAUAGCCAUAAACUAAGAGGAACAAGAAUGGGAAAAAAGUCUACAAAUGUGUGUCAACAUUAGCAAGACCCUCUUACAAGACUUUAAUGUGCACGUUUCUGAGAUACAAGAAGAUUUGACAGCACAAACCUGGAAGGAGCAAUAGCACUUGCCAACAGCUGUUCCUCAAAUGCCAACAAGCCACUACCUACUGGUAUCACUAGCUUCUGCCCAGGAAACUUCAACAAAAACUCAGUUGCCCACAGCAUCCAAAUAAUGGAAAGUCACUAGUGGCCUACUCAGAAAUAUCUGAAAACUAUGCAUUAAUUAAUAUAGUCAUGUGAGGGAUGGGUCUAAUGCACAUAUCAUAAUAUGCAAUGUACUACAAACCAGAGUCAUGUACAAAUGAAUAAAUAUCAAGCCAGGGGAUAAAGAGUCCUGGAAACGCUAUGCAACAAUGCCUUCAGAGUCUAGCUGCCAUUUAGCAAACAGUUAGCUAAUUUGUUAUCUAGCAAAAGUUUUCUGUGUCAUCACUGCUAGUCUGAUUAAUGAUGCU